GGUUCGGCGCGGAGUUAAGGCUUACGGCCACCAUCAGGUGCAACGGGGUAUCAUUUGGAGAGCACUGGGAGUGGCAGCUGGUCCAGAAAGAGCUAGUCGGUGAAUCGCGGCGCGCAGAUUCGCACCAAGUUGAUCGUGCGACCGAUUGGAGGGCGAGAGUCGGCAAUCACUGCCGGGAACGGCACGAAGCAAAAACCCCUGAAAGGGGUUUUUGUUUUUGAUUUCCAGUUUCAUCAUUCCGCUCGCUGCAGCAAGUCGACCGGAAAUUCACGAACGACACGACGCGCUAAGGCCUCUCGGACGGCUGGUAGUCGAUUGAGGAAGCAUCGCCGGAGAAUUGCCCAUCGGCGAAUGACGGCAGCGAGAAUCGGUGAGGAGUCGAGGACCAGUCGGACCGCCCCGGUCGGAGCGAAUCCAGGAGCGUGAAUUGAACGCGGGUGCGGGUGCGAUCGAAGGAAGGCACCGAGGAAUGAGGUGCAGAGGCGUGGCGGCUGGUAGGAAGGGGCGCCCCAUGAAGUAGUAAGUAAGAGAAGAAGAAUGCAAGUAGAAGUUUAAGAGAAAAGGUAGUAGGAGAAGGAAUGUAGGAAGUAGAAGAGAGGAAAUAGGUGAGUGAACCCAAAAUAUAUGUAUUAAAUUGA